GCGUGCCACNGUCUAGCGGUCUAGGACGCCGCCCUUUCACGGCGGAAACACGGGUUCGAUUCCCGUUGGGCGUGCCA
rnacentral:tRNA from 1 species